CGACCGUCUAUGGAGUCUUUCUAGGCUUCCUGUCCAAACAUAAUGAAACAACACCGAAUAGCGCUUCAGGCCACAUCAUUUGAAGAGCAAUAAUAUAACGUUUCCAGCUAUUCAAGGACCAUUUUAUGACUGAAUGAUUAUGGGACGAUAAGGCCAUUUAUGUUAAGUAGAUCUGGGAGCAUCUCACAUGAGAUUUUUAACCUCUGGGAGCAUGCUGAUUUGAUGCAGUCUGAAACAAUGUUUUUCCUCCGCCUUGACAACGGGCGAACCUCUUCCUCCCUUGAGGUAGGAGUCCCAUUUUCCAGCUUCCCCCGCAGCGUCGCGCAGCCAAGGCUCUGGGUCAGGAUAGAGAACGCGCUCUCCCGCCACUUCGCGAGCUCCAGGACCACAUUACCCAGAAGACCGUGCGUCAAGAGGAGCCAAUGACCGACCAGGACGAAGCAUAUCCGUGCGUGCGCAUCGCGUGAGAGGGACUUCCGGCCCCUUGCCCGCGUUUUUGCGGUUCUUGGGGAUCCCUGGCGCAGCGUUGAGACGCGCAGGACAGAACGGAGUAGGCAUGGCAAGAGCCGUCCUCACAGCCGAGACGCGGGUUAGCGGCUCUGCGCCGGGGCCCGGACAGGCACCGCCCGCCCGGGUGUCCGCUCCGCCCAUAGAGUCCGAUGGCGACGGCCGCGCGCCGGGACCCGGCUGAGAGUUCCAGGACUGCAGAAAUACUUAGGGAGCCAACACAGGUAUGUAGAGGGGGCCCUGAUCCCUUACUGGCCCUGAAUGCCACUCAGAUGGCAGUCCUGGGACUCUUAUGUGCCAUUUUCCCAGUCCUUGGGUCUGGGGACCCUAGAGAAACCCCAUCUCAGGGUCCUGAGCUCAUGCCAGGGGUUAUACGCAGGUGUUCCAUUCCUGUCGGCUAUCAUGAAGGAGUGUGUGGAGUUAACCCAGGGUCAGGUACCAGGAAGUGCAAAUACAUAAAGGUAAAGCUGAGCUCAGGGUGUUCAGGAACCACGUGUCUCCUUUUCUGAUAUGAACAAAGAGCAGGUGUCAGGACGGGAAUGACUGUCUGAAAAGUUGGGUGUGUAUUCUGGAGGUGGUGGGAGGUUUGGGCCAGAGGAGAGAGGUAAUGUUAGCAAGGUGGAAACAGUCUCCUUCUGACUGUAAAGUGGAGAACAGACCAUGGGAAUGAGAGAGGAGCAAGGAAAGCCAGGGUGGAAGCUACUACUAUAGUCUAGGUGAGGGUUAAUGGACCGGGGCUGUGGUUUAGGGUGGUUGCAUUUCUGGAAGUGGCCAUGGGAUACAAGUUUUAAAACAGGGAAACUGGGUUUUCUCAUGUGGGUGGUGAGGGAGGCAAACGGAGGUAUCAGGGAUAACCCCAGAGUGAUUGAUCUUCGCACCUGUAGGGAUGGAAGUUCCAACUGAGAUGAGGAAGUUGGUAGUAGGAAUAAUAUUCACUGGGGAUAUCAGGAGCUUUGUUUUGGCCACGUUAGGAGUCUGAGGUGUUUCAGAGAUCACUUAGUGGAGGCAUCGAAUUGGCAUCUAGAAACGCAAGUUGGGAAAUCAAAAGAGGGGUUCAAAUUGAAGACAUUCAAAAUGUGGUAGUUACUCUAUGGGCCCAAGUAAGUAACCUGUGGUUAUAUUUAGGAGAUAUAAUCUUCAUAUUCAUGGUCAUGAAGCUGUUUAUGGGCCAGGAGGUGGAGGGUAGAGACUGAGCACUAGGUCUCUUGCUUGGGACCUGAGUGACGGCAUUGGAAUUCUUAAAUGCAGGUGAGGGAGGUAUGUGGCACUUAAGGUAGGGUGUAUCAGACAGACUAGUCUAGCAGGUGGCUGAGGCUUCCAGGAUAAGAGUGGACAUGAGAGACGUAGCGGGAAGGGGUAAUUGAGGCAAGAUGUCACUCAGGCCAGAGCUCUUGUUUAUUCACGUCUCUGUGGAUCCACCAAGAUUUGUGAGGAUUUGGUGGGGGCUGGGAUGUUUCAUUCAGCCUGGUGGGUAUGAUCAGGGGCAAAUAUAUGGUCAUCUGUGAGAAUCAGUAGGACUGGGGUGGGUGAUACAUGGACCGGGCUCUGAAUGAGGGUUAGGUGGACACAGAAGGUUGUCAUUGCCGAGGAGACAGCCUGUGCAGCACAGAAAUGGAAGAGGGCCCUGGGUAUUGAGACCCACAACUGAUUCUGUGUGGCUGAGUCUCAGUAGGGAGGCCUUCAUAGAAGGAUUAGGUGUUUCCAACUCUAGUGGGAGCCAUGGGCAUUCUUGGCUUGUAUUGGGUUCUGUUUGAAUUUGCCAAGUAGCUCUGGAUGUUUUCUGCUAAGUUCAUUUUAUGGCUUAAAAUUAAGGUCCAUUUUUAUGUGCUGCCUUGACACCUGUUGAAGCCCCAAGUGGCUGAUGUGGCCAAGAGUGUAUUCUUGGGUAAAGUGUCCUAGCCAGGCAUCCCUUUCCAUCGAGAGGACCAGAGCACUUCCUGCUUCGGCCUUUGAAGUGGGCUUCACUUGUCUACCGGCCCAUGGAGUUAUUCACACAAGCCGUUCACAUCAUCCUGUGGGAACCACAUGGUACCCCAACUCUUGAUCUUGUGAGACUUGCAUCUCACAGCCCCUGGUCGUUCACUCUUUUCUAGUAUACAGCAUUCACAUGGCCCUGUAAGGCGUGUGGUGUCCUCCCCUCUGGGCUGUGAAUAUAUGUAGUAAACUGCUGUUGAUCUCAUCUGUCCAGUGUCCGGUACUUUGUGUUUGGCCGUCCCCAUAAGCCUAGGACAGGAGUUCUCAAACAAAAGUGACUUAUAGGGAGGCCAAGGAGAUGCCUGUGCCACGUGGCAUUGUGCCACCAGUGUCCAGGAACAUGAGGCUGUGCGUUCUGAAGAAUACUUGGAGAGGGAGUAUGUCUGAAGGUCCCAGGGCCCUAGGAAUGACACUUACACGACAGACCAUAUCAGGGUGGAGGAGUAGCUUGACAGAAGUGGGUGCAUUCAUCCACCCAGGACCACAGCUCAGACAUCUGUUCACCUGUGUGUUGUUGCUGAUGAUCAGACCUCAUGACUCAUGAGCCCACGAGUAACCAGCAGUGCAAGCUGUCCCAAGGCCUGGUUUGUUUCCUAGGUUGGAGGCUUGGGAGGAGGGUGAUCUUGGGGUAGAUGUGUACAGGAGGGAUUGGGUACUCAGGAGAAGGGCUCUUGGUGGUUUCAUCUGUCACCAUCAUGACAGAACACUGUGACUUUUGAAGACGUGGCUGUGUACCUGUCCCGGCAGGAGUGGGGUCUCCUUGAUGAGUUUCAGAGACACUUCUACCACGAUGUGAUGCUGGAAAACUUUGAACUUACAGUCUUUCUGGGUAAGGCCCUCACACCACCCCUGUACCCUUAGAUGUUCUCUGCUCUUCCCCUUUUUCCCAGGGGCUCGUCUGUCCUUCCUGUAUCAGGACCAUGGACACUGCUUCUUGCCCCAGCUCCCCAAGUAUGUGCUGUGGCUGGUAAGGCUGAGGUAUGUGCACUGCCCUCUCCUGCAGCAGUCCCAGCAUGGGGCCAGGCAUCUAGCAGUCACUGUAGUUGAUUCUACUUCGCUUGCCCUCUUCUGGCCUGUGACUUUGUACAGAUCCAAGGCACCAGAAUACACCAGCGGCUACUUCUUUCCUCUAGCUGACAUUUCUUCAUGCCUGCUGUGCCAGGAAUUGCUAACACUGACACAGUUACGGCUGUCUUGCGAGACACUCUUCUGAAGUUUUCUGUAAUCGGUUUCACCCCCUGUGGUCUAUCACAUGCUG
rnacentral:lncRNA from 1 species